rnacentral:lncRNA from 1 species
CACCACAGACAAACUGAGGUCUUUGGUUCGAAAAUGGCAAACUCUUAUUGAAGCCCAUGUGGAUGUGAAGACAACUGAUAAUUACACAUUGAGGAUGUUUUGUAUUGGAUUCACCAAGAGAAGAGCUAACCAGGUGAAGAGAACCUGUUAUGCACAAUCAAGCCAGAUUAGACAGGUAUACACACCAACAUUGUAGUAAGAUUCUACUGUUGAGCAAUAUUUUGGUUUUGUUUGUCAACACAAAGUAUGUACUUCGCAUUCAAUAUGUUGUACAGGACGUGUUCUGGUUGCAUUUCUCUGUAUACAGUGCAUAGUGGAUUUUAACUGCAGAGUUUGUGUUUUUUUGCUACGUUAUUGCAGUUUAAUAAUUGAUAUCAUACGCUUAACUUUUCAGAUACGUAGGAAGAUGAGAGAGAUCAUGACCAACCAGGCAACAGCCUGUGAUUUGAAGGAGUUGGUCCGAAAGUUCAUUCCUGAGAUUAUUGGAAAAGAAAUUGAGAAGGCCACGUCUAGCAUUUAUCCUCUGCAGAACGUGUUUGUCCGAAAAGUCAAGAUCCUUAAAGCUCCUAAGUUUGAUCUUGGGAAAUUGAUGGAGGUAAUUUUUAAAAUAAUUUUCUUUCAUCUUUCUUCUAUACUAGAUUUCGUGGAAAAUAUUUCACAAAUUCCUUUAGCCGAAUAAACUUUGAUGUCUACUGUGUGUGUUUGGUUUACCAUUAGGAGAUAACUUAAUGUGUUUCUGAAGUAAUAGUUGAUAGACAAUUUGUAUUGUUAAUAAAUCUGGCCAUCCUUGUUAUUCAUACGAAUGUCCAGGGUUUUUGAAUUCUUUUCCUGUGGAUAGAUGGAUCAGCUGAGCAAAUUGAGCACGUUAUCUUUUUUUUAUCUAUAAACUAGUUCAUUUUGUUGUAGGCACCGAAAUAGAAAUUUUGUUGUACUUAAUGUUUAUAUCUAUUAUUCCCUUGAUUAAAACCUUAUGAUUUGUUGAUCACGGCACUUAUCAUGUCUUGCCAAGUAAUAAAGUUUUUACUGGUAUAUGUUGAUGACACCUUUUAAGCGUAUUUCUUUUCGGUUUGGCCCUUGUAGGUUCAUGGUGAUUACUCAGAAGAUGUUGGCACAAAGGUAGACAGACCUGCUGAUGAAACAAUUGCAG